AUGGAGGAGACUCGACGCCUCGUCGGAGUCGGACCAGCGCCGCCUGGGUGCUAUGAGCCAGCUGCGCGUGCUAAGAAGGCCAAGGACGCGCGGUCCAUGGAAUCCGACGACAUGGCGACCAAGACCAACUACAGCGCCGCCGCUGCCGCAUCGGAGGACUCUCGUCGCCUCCUUGAAUCCGAAUCAGCGGCUAGGCCUUUCGUGCUGCCUGGUCCGGCUGAUGAGGAAGUAAAGUCAAGGUGGGCGGCGGCUGGCCGCCGCCGCGCGUGCAACUGGCUGCGGCGGCUGCUCCGUUCGCCUCCUCUCCAUCCUCCCCCCCGACUUCAGCUGUACAACGCCGCCCAUCCGGGUGAUGAGUACGAACCUGCUCCUGGUAAGCUCAUUGAUAGAGGUGACGACGAUGAAGUUCUCACAUGCAUCCCCCUAGGUUGGUAUCUACUUGCUAGCUUGAUGUACCCUUACCUCCCUGUUGCCAUGGCAUGCACCAUAUGUACUUUAAAGAACCAUUGGGUUUUCAUCAUCUGGAGAGAUGAACCAGUUACUGAAGCCUACGUUUUCCUUGGUAUCCCUCUUGGACGGGGUACCCGUCGUAAUGGUGAAUUGGACUGUGUUUGCAAGACAUGCUACCGUCGAUUUCAUGUCCCACAUGCUGGUCUGACGAGGAAAUGUGGAUGUGAAGAUAGCAAGGUGGAGAGGGUAUGUAAAAUGUGCUAUCUUGACGCCGAUGUGUUGCAUCCCUUCCGAGGAGGAUUCCGUUUUGGCCAUCACCAAGAGAGCUUUGUAAAGCGUUACUGCUCCUACUACUGA
rnacentral:rRNA from 1 species